rnacentral:rRNA from 1 species
AGAGUUUGAUCAUGGCUCAGGACGAACGCUGGCGGCGUGCUUUACACAUGCAAGUUGUACGAGGACCGGAGAGCUUGCUCUCCGGAGCCGAGUGGCGGACGGGUGAGUAACACGUGACUAACCUGUCCCAGGGUGAGGGACAACCUGGGGAAACCCGGGCUAAUACCACAUGACGUCUCGUUGUCACAUGGCAGUGAGAUCAAAGAGGGCCUCUACUUGUAAGCUCUCGCCCAGGGAGGGGGUCGCGGCGUAUCAGCUAGUUGGUGGGGUAACGGCCUACCAAGGCUACGACGCGUAGCGGGUCUGAGAGGACGACCCGUCACAUUGGGACUGAGAUACGGCCCAGACUCCUACGGGAGGCAGCAGUGGGGAAUAUUGCGCAAUGGACGAAAGUCUGACGCAGCGACGCCGCGUGUGGGAGGAAGCCUUUCGGGGUGUAAACCACUGUCAGAGGGGAAGAACGUCGUCUGGUCGAAUAGGCCAGGCGAGUGACGGUACCCUCAAAGGAAGCGCCGGCUAACUCCGUGCCAGCAGCCGCGGUAAGACGGAGGGCGCAAGCGUUGUUCGGAAUUACUGGGCGUAAAGCGCGGGCAGGUGGUCUGUUAAGUCGUUUGUGAAAACCCGGGGCUCAACCCCGUGGAAUGCAGACGAUACUGGCAGACUAGAGAUCGGUAGAGGCUAGCGGAAUUCCAGGUGUAGCGGUGGAAUGCGUAGAUAUCUGGAAGAACACCUGUGGCGAAGGCGGCUAGCUGGGCCGAGUCUGACACUCAUCCGCGAAAGCGUGGGGAGCAAACAGGAUUAGAUACCCUAGUAGUCC